rnacentral:rRNA from 1 species
GAUGAACGCUGGCGGCGUGCCUAAUACAUGCAAGUCGAGCGAACAGACGAGGAGCUUGCUCCUCUGAUGUUAGCGGCGGACGGGUGAGUAACACGUGGAUAACCUACCUAUAAGACUGGGAUAACUUCGGGAAACCGGAGCUAAUACCGGAUAACAUGUUGAACCGCAUGGUUCAACAGUGAAAGACGGUCUUGCUGUCACUUAUAGAUGGAUCCGCGCCCCAUUAGCUAGUUGGUAAGGUAACGGCUUACCAAGGCAACGAUGCGUAGCCGACCUGAGAGGGUGAUCGGCCACACUGGAACUGAGACACGGUCCAGACUCCUACGGGAGGCAGCAGUAGGGAAUCUUCCGCAAUGGGCGAAAGCCUGACGGAGCAACGCCGCGUGAGUGAAGAAGGUCUUCGGAUCGUAAAACUCUGUUAUUAGGGAAGAACAAAUGUGUAAGUAACUAUGCACGUCUUGACGGUACCUAAUCAGAAAGCCACGGCUAACUACGUG